UUAAACUUAGAAGUUACAGGCUGGAUUUCAUUAACAGAUCAUGUGAGGGAAGGUUAAACAAAACCUGCUUACAGAAGAGGAGAGAGGCAACUGAAACAAUCAAAUGCUGGCUUAAAGUUUGUUUUCCUCACAAUCAGAUGUCUUUUGUAGGACUAUACGAGGUCUUUUGUAGGACCUUUCUGGUCACCAAGUACCUGCUGGAUUAGAAUCUCCUCACUAUCAGUUCAGCAGAAUCUCUUCUGACCUCUCCCUCUUUGAUCAUUCUCAACCAGCGGCGCAUCCUAAAUGUACACCCUGAAGCUUCAGCACAGCACUGCCGAAGGAGAAGGACUUCUGCACUGGUUCCUCAUGGAGCUCUGGAAGUGAGCGAGCUCAGGGGGACACUCACCUGGAUGCGAGAUGAAGCUGAAAGGGUUUUACAAUAGUUUAGUUAGUGGCCAGCAUGAAACAAGAUUUUUUACAAAGCUAUUCCACAUUACAGUAAUAUCUUGAUGACUCCGUGCAAGGCCGUAGCAUGGCCUCUGCAGAGCUGCGAGCUGAAUGCUGCUCCUCUGACUCGUCUCAUAAGCAGCUAUUAGUUUGUGCAAUUUCCUCUUGCUCCAUAUGGGAACAUCCACGGGGAUUUUACUAGACAUUACCCUCAGGCUUGCAGAAAAGCACAGUGAAUGGCUGACAUAGUAUUCAUACAAUCACAUCUCGUCCCUGUCACCAUUGUCUUCCUCUUCUCUCAAAGGAGGUGGUUCCCUGGUUUGUGGUCACGCAAUGCUAGAAAAGUGGGCUGCCACGGGGUGUUUGCUGUGAUGCCUUUGGCCACAUACAUCUGUGCUGUACUGUUACCCAGCUGCCUAAAACCUGAUCUUGCUCAAAUCUGCAUUUCACCAUUCGCGUGCCGGUGUCUUUUACUAGCGGGUCUCUCCCUCCACAGGCGGUAUAGCUGGAAGUCAGGGACUUGGGUAUCAGCCAAGUAGGCUGUUUUACACACUGGCUUGCAGCAAACUCAUUACCCACAAUACCCAUGAUUUGAUGCAAAAACCUGACCUUUGCCCAUGGCUGGUAAGAGGGUUUGUCCCGAUGCCACGUGCCCAGGGUGGGUCCUGCCCCCUGCCCCUGACAGCAGUCCCCCAUUAGCAUGCCGUGCAGACAGCUGAGCACACACUGCAAUCCAAACACAGCGCCGGCCCUUUCCUCUCCCCUGGUUAAUUUUGUUAAGGAUUUUGUGUUUGACUAAAUAAUUGACUGUUCAAAACACAGGCUGUGUGUAAGGAACACCGGUCGGGGCUCCUCCCUUUGGCCAGCCUCGCUGCGGGGGCACCAGAGCCACCGUGUGACACAUGUCCCCUCCAUGCUGAGGGAAUUAGUUCUCCUGGCUGCUCCACCACCACCUCUCUGCUCACAGGCUUCCUCUGCCACAGAUUGUCGUGGAAUUGUCCACAGGCCCUUAGCCCUGGCACUCACGUCCUGAUCCCAGUGCUCUCACAGCCUGGCUGAAAAACAUUAACCCCAAACGCCUGCAUGGAGACAGACAGCAAGGAUGGAAUGAAAGAACAAAAGGACAGUUCAAAAUAUUCAGCACACUGUACAACAUAUUCAGUCCAGAAUUUACCUAUAAAGUCUUAUUUUGUGACUACUUUUAUUAUAUGUACUGUGGUAAAUAUUAAUGCUAAACUAGAUUAUUAUUAUUAUUAUUAUUAUUAUUAUUAUUAUUAUUAUUAUUAUUAUUAUUAUUAUUAUUAUUAUCAUUAUUAUUAUUAUUAUUAUUAUUAUUCCCUAGCAAGAAGAGUGUUUCUGUAAUUAUUUUUUUUGUGUGUUUUUGGCACAAAAAUGUAUCCUUAUACAUAGCAAAGAACAUGUUGUUUUGCAUAUUGUUCAAUGCACUGAAUUUGUAACAUCCUAAAACCAUUCACAGAAUAUACAUGAAAAUUAUGAAAAACAAAGGUAAACGAUUAAUGUAAGAGCGCACUUUAGUAACAUUCUGCAUUUAGUUUACUAAUGAUAAUUUAAACUAAAAUGGUCCUCCGCAACAGCAUUGAAAUUUUCUCCCCUCAAAACAGUCAUUGAAACUAAACCUACUGGGUGCUCUGAUCAAGUACCAGGGUUAGAAUUGUUUGAUCUGACUAGAAAGAUUUCUCAUUCCACACUUUUUUUUUCCUUCCCCUCCUUUACUGCUCAAGCAGGGGUGGCAAAAUCGGGCUGAGCCUGGCCCAUUCUUCCUCCUGGGUCUGGCUACAUUCGACAGCUGCAGGUGAAGCACUGCCUGGCACCCAACAGUCACACCUUCAACACCACACCAGCUUAUAAAAACCUACCAGACAAAGCCUGGCCAGCACAGACUGUUGUUACAGAGCAGCUGAGGCAGCUCAUCCCAGGCGAAUGGCUAGCUGUCUGCGCCUGUUUGCCAGUUUGCGGGAGAGGGCAGGCCCGUGUGCCCAGGCUGCAGCCGGCCCUUAUGUCCUUCUGCCCCACGAGAAGCCGGCGUCCUUGGCUUCUUCUGCCAAGUGGCUUCACCUCCUCUGUCCGUGACUUCACCUCGAGUGGCAGAGGUGGUGUACUGACUGCUCCUUGGGCUGCGGUGGGUACAUGAAGACGAGCAAAGGCAGCGUUGCCAAAAUCGGGUGAUAGCUGGCAGAAGCAGUGUAUGAGGGGUUUCUUAACAUGGCCCUGGCUUUUUGUCUUCCACCCAUCAGGCCGAUGCAGAUUCUUUAUGUUACUCCCUUAUGCCUCAACAUCUACAAAGCAAAAAUGAGCAGGAAUAAGCUUUUCCUCCCUCCUGCCCCCAGCCCUUAUCAGCAUGGCCACUCACUGUGAAGCUGGGUUUCACAGAGCACGGGCCCAGCCUUAUCACCAUCCUUUGAGAGAAGCAGAGGGUAACAGCCACCCUAGAUACUGUGUUAACGCACACAUUGUAUGUUUGCAGCUCAGCCUUGAUUGAAGACAAUCAGAACAAAAUAAGAAAGAGACAAUAAAAUACCUCACUGUGAUGAUA